GACGAACGCUGGCGGCGUGCUUAACACAUGCAAGUCGAACGGUGAAGCGCCUUCCUUUUUGGUGGGUGUGGAUGAGUGGCGAACGGGUGAGUAACACGUGAGUAACCUGCCCCUUCUUCUGGAUAACCGCAUGAAAGUGUGGCUAAUACGGGAUAUUCUGGGUCUGUCGCAUGAUGGGUCUGGGAAAGAUAUUGUUUCGGUGGGGGAUGGGUUCGCGGCCUAUCAGCUUGUUGGUGGGGUGAUGGCCUACCAAGGCGGUGACGGGUAGCCGGCCUGAGAGGGUGGACGGUCACACUGGGACUGAGACACGGCCCAGACUCCUACGGGAGGCAGCAGUGGGGAAUAUUGCACAAUGGGCGCAAGCCUGAUGCAGCGACGCCGCGUGAGGGAUGGAGGCCUUCGGGUUGUGAACCUCUUUCGCCAGUGAAGCAGGCCUGCCUCGUUUGUGGGUGGGUUGACGGUAGCUGGAUAAGAAGCGCCGGCUAACUACGUG
rnacentral:rRNA from 1 species